rnacentral:lncRNA from 10 species
UCUUUCCCUGCUGAUUCCGCCAAGCCCAUUCCCUUGGCUGUGGUUUCGCUGGAUAGUAGGUAGGGACAGUGGGAAUCUCGUUCAUCCAUUCAUGUGCGUCACUAAUUAGAUGACAAGGCAUUUGGCUACCUUAAGAGAGUCAUAGUUACUCCCGCCGUUUACCCGUGCUUCAUUGAAUUUCUUCACUUUGACAUUCAGAGC